rnacentral:tRNA from 1 species
GGGGAUUUAGCUCAGCAGCAUAAGCGCCUGCCUUGCAAGCAGGCAGUUGUGGUUUCAAUCCCUG